AGUAACACGUGGGUAACCUGCCCGGACGUGGGGGACAACUCUUCGAAAGGAGAGCUAAUACCGCAUAAUAUUCCUAGAACCUCGGUUCAUGGGAUCAAAGUUUGCCUCUGUUUCAUGCAAACGCGACCGGAGGGACCCGCGCCCCAUUAGCUUGAUGGUGAGGUAACGGCUCACCAUGGCUUCGAUGGGUAGCCGGCCUGAGAGGGUGAUCGGCCACACUGGAACUGAGACACGGUCCAG
rnacentral:rRNA from 1 species